rnacentral:rRNA from 1 species
AUGGCUUCGCAGCCGAGGAUUAAUGCAGCGUUGGUUGCGGUUAUCCGAAUGGCUAGGACUGCAAAGAAUGCCAGCGCAGGUGGCUCGGGAAACCCUGUUCAUUACAUCAGAAAUGAGGCUAGACCCGACAAGGCUUUCACAACUGACAGAGCAAAGAAGGCUGGGAAGGCGAAUGCUUCAAGUGGCCAGAUCUUUGUGACCAUUGCACCCGAUCAUUUCGGCCCCAUUCCGGCAGAGAAUGACCCCAAAAGGCGCCUUGGUGUGCUGGUCGGGGAAACCUGGGAAGACCGCCUUGAGUGCAGGCAGUGGGGCGCUCAUUUCCCUCAUGUUGCUGGUAUUGCUGGCCAGUCAGAGCAUGGUGCCCAGUCAGUGGCGCUGUCGGGUGGUUACAUAGAUGAUGAGGACCAUGGGGAGUGGUUCCUGUAUACCGGAAGUGGUGGAAGAGACCUAAGUGGCAACAAGCGAACAAACAAGGAGCAAUCUUCUGACCAGAAAUUUGACAAGAUGAAUGCUGCUCUGCGUCUUAGUUGCAAGAAGGGUUACCCUGUCAGGGUUGUGCGGUCCCACAAAGAGAAGCGCUCUUCAUAUGCUCCUGAAACUGGUGUGCGGUAUGAUGGAGUCUACAGGAUUGAGAAAUGCUGGAGGAAGAUUGGUGUUCAGGGUACGUACAAGGUCUGCAGGUAUCUCUUCGUACGAUGCGACAAUGAACCAGCUCCAUGGACCAGUGAUCUUCAUGGUGACCGGCCAAGGCCCCUGCCCAAGAUUAAGGAGCUGCAAGGUGCCACUGACAUAACUGAAAGGGCAGGAUCCCCCUCAUGGGACUAUGUUGAAAAUGAAGGCUGGAAGUGGGUGAAGCCUCCGCCAAUCAGCAAGAAGCCCGCCCAGUCAGGCGAUCCUGAAACUGACAAGCAAUUCAGGAAGUACCAGAAGCGUGCGCAUAUGUCCAUGAACGAGAGGCUGCUGAAGGAGUUUGGGUGUUCCAUUUGCAAGAAUGUGAUGAAGGAACCACUUACCACUCCCUGUGGUCAUAACUUCUGCAAAGCUUGCUUGACCGCUGCGUUUGGCGAUGAGGGUUCUAUGAGGGAAAGAAGCAGGGGCGGCCGCACUCUGCGGGCGCAGAAGAUUGUGAAGAACUGCCCCUCCUGCCCGACUGACAUUUGCGACUUCCUGGAGAACCCACAGAUUAACAUUGAGAUGAAGGAUCUGAUCGACAACCUGCUUGCCAAGGCCGCCAAGGAAAAGACAGACGCGGAGGGAUCUGCCGAGGAAAACGAUGACGAUGAGGAGGAUGCUCUGGAGAAGGAAGAGGAGGACGACAGCAGCCUGAACGAGGAAGAGAACGACGAUGGUGCCGAGAACAAGGCUGGGGAAGAGGAUGCUGUCGUCAAGAUCGUGGUCGAUGCCAAGGAUGAGCUGAAGAAGCCUCUGAAGCGCAAGGGAGACGAGGAGGAGGAAGCCAAAGAUGAGAAGAAGAUCAAGACCACUGCUGCCGCCGCUACUGAUGUGGAAAAUGCCGCUGAAGAGGACGCUGAGAAGGCUGAAGACAAGGAAGAAGAAGGUGCCAAGAAGCUUCAGAAGAAGCGCAAGGGGCGUGCUGAGGCUGCAGGUACCGCAGCUGGCGGCGGUAAGAGGAAGAGGGCCAGCCCUGCUGCGGCCGAAGAGAAGGCCGCCGCCGCCGCAGCUGGUGGUGGUAAGAGGAAGAAGACAAGCCCUGCCGCGGCUGAAGAGACCACCCCUGCCGCUGCGAGCACCCCUCGCCGUGCGACAAGGAGCGGCGGCGCGGUGGCUGGUGGGAGCCCUGCUUCCAGGACCAGGAGCAACACCAAGGCCGGCAACUGA